GUAGGGGCUGGAAAGGACCUCCAGAGAUAAAAUCCAACUUCCCUGCAAGGCUCCCUACAGCAAGCUGCUCAGGAAAGCCAAGUCUGGUAGGAUGCUAACAAUACAGAAUGAGAAGGAGAUGGCCAGCGGAAUUAAAAAUGAAAUCCUGCCCACUGAAAGACACUUCCUGAUUCUGGAAAGGAAUAACACAUCCUGAAGCCAAAGGAAGAGGAUGAGCUCAGGAACAACUCUGAAGAAGGGACAGGGAUAAAUAAGGCAAAAAUCAGUGUAUGCCACAGGCAAAUCUGAAUUCAGGAGCCAACCCCCUGAAAAUUUGACAAGUUUACAGAGUUGAAGAUUACUGCGAAGUUCCUGUGAAUAUUU